UACGAAGGGGGCUAGCGUUGCUCGGAAUUAUUGGGCGUAAAGGGCUCGUAGGCGGUUUGUCGCGUCGGGAGUGAAAACUCAGGGCUUAACCCUGAGCCUGCUUCCGAUACGGGCAGACUAGAGGUAUGCAGGGGAGAACGGAAUUCCUGGUGUAGCGGUGAAAUGCGCAGAUAUCAGGAGGAACACCGGUGGCGAAGGCGGUUCUCGUGGGACGGUACUGACGCUGAGACGCGAAAGCGUGGGGAGCGAACAGG
rnacentral:rRNA from 1 species